GACUUGACCACCCUCUCCCCACCCGAGUGCUCCACACACUGCCUGGAGCGGGUGACUUAAUAAUCAAGCUCACAGAAGUAAGCUGUAGAAUGGAGCUGAGGAGGGCUGGGCUUGAAGGCCUGGGGGCCUGGCAGAGGAAACUUCAUCUUAAAGACUAUUUUAGCAGUAAUCAAAUGGAAAUUACAGCCAGUUCUGUGGGUAUAAAGACCCAGCUGCAAGAAGACCCAGCUCUCUGAAAACCCCCGAGGAAGUUUCAAGGGGGUACGGUGAUGAGAAACUGCAUCGACUGGAGUAAGAAGUGAGAGGCAAAUUAAUAAGUGCAGAUGCCACGGCUGCUGUCACCACCACAGCCGAGGUGGGAGCCAGUGUGGAAUUUUACAGAAGGAAAGACUGCCGCCUCCCUUUAAUGAUCCACAGUCCUGUGAAGGGAAGGGAAGGAACCAGGCCUUGAAGCCAAGCUCUCCACUAAGCAGGCUCUCUCCUUUCCUGAGACUGCAGAGAACAUGGAUGUUAGGCAUUCAACAGCACUCGGCUUAGUGGAGAAGCCUGGGAGAAAGUCCCUCUUCAGGUCUGUUCGGUUUCUGACUAGCCUUAGGCAACACCUUCCUUAGAUCUUGAUGAACAGUCUGCAACACCCCCGAGGCUCCCUGUGUCACAAGGACGACCAUGUGCCUCAAGAGGUUAUUCCCUUGGCUUUGUUUUCCUUCAUUUUCUUUGUAGGAUUUCCUUAAAUUCAUGGAUUCAUGGCGAGUGCUGGUUCUCUACUUAAGAUCAAAUUGUCGUAGCUGCUGUGGCUUCUGUACUGCUCCAGGCCGCCAUCUUCGGACAGACACGCUCCACAGCACCUGCCUGGUGUCCCGGAGCCUGCAUCCUGGCUCGUAUGUGCGGCAAAGCGGCUAUCUUCGUGGCCCCGAGAAACCUUUGGAAAGAAGUGGCCUGGAGUUUAAAGCAGGGGUUGAGUAAGAAAGGGCAGAGUUGCACAGGGACAGAGCAGGCGCCUGGUUUAGGCUCUCUCCCAACCUCAACCCAGCAUGAUGCUUCCGGGCGUCUGCUUCGUGUGGGUCACAAGGAGGACUGGCCCAGAUGGUCUCCGAGGGCCCCCAGCCCCGAAACAGUUAUUCUGGCGAUGGCUAUUUUUGCUAUGUAUUUAAGUACUAAGGCCAGGCCUAUUUGGGAAGGCCACUAAGUACAAUUAAAUCUACAAAGAUGAAAAUGCAGGCUCCCACCCACAUGCCACCUUCUUUCACAGCACUUGGCAAGUCCAGGGUGUCAGCAAUUAGUAACUGGGCCCAAUUGCUAUGAUGAGAUUUGCACUCAGUGGUAAAGGAGAAAUCCUUCCACUGACUAAUCUGGCUAAUGGAGCAGUUAAAAGUUAGACAGGCAGGAAAGCAUUCCACUGGGGUCGUUCUAAGUGCAG